rnacentral:rRNA from 1 species
CCUACGGGAGGCAGCAGUAGGGCAUCUUCCACAAUGGACGAAAGUCUGAUGGAGCAACGCCGCGUGAGUGAAGAAGGGUUUCGGCUCGUAAAGCUCUGUUGGUAGUGAAGAAAGAUAGAGGUAGUAACUGGCCUUUAUUUGACGGUAAUUACUUAGAAAGUCACGGCUAACUACGUGCCAGCAGCCGCGGUAAUACGUAGGUGGCAAGCGUUGUCCGGAUUUAUUGGGCGUAAAGCGAGUGCAGGCGGUUCAAUAAGUCUGAUGUGAAAGCCGUCGGCUCAACCGGAGAAUUGCAUCAGAAACUGUUGAACUUGAGUGCAGAAGAGGAGAGUGGAACUCCAUGUGUAGCGGUGAAAUGCGUAGAUAUACGGAGGAACACCAGUGGCGAAGGCGGAUUGCUGGACAGUAACUGACGCUGAGGCGCGAAAGCGUGGGGAGCAAACAGGAUUAGAUACCCGAGUAGUC